CUAGUAACGGCCGCCAGUGUGCUGGAAUUCGCCCUUCAGGCCUAACACAUGCAAGUCGAACGGAGCACCCUUGAUUGAGGUUUCGGCCAAAUGAUAGGAAUGCUUAGUGGCGGACUGGUGAGUAACGCGUGAGGAACCUGCCUUUCAGAGGGGGACAACAGUUGGAAACGACUGCUAAUACCGCAUGACGCAUUUUGAUCGCAUGGUCGAAAUGCCAAAGAUUUAUCGCUGAAAGAUGGCCUCGCGUCUGAUUAGCUAGUUGGUGAGGUAACGGCCCACCAAGGCGACGAUCAGUAGCCGGACUGAGAGGUUGACCGGCCACAUUGGGACUGAGAUACGGCCCAGACUCCUACGGGAGGCAGCAGUGGGGAAUAUUGGGCAAUGGGCGCAAGCCUGACCCAGCAACGCCGCGUGAAGGAAGAAGGCUUUCGGGUUGUAAACUUCUUUUAAGUGGGAAGAGUAGAAGACGGUACCACUUGAAUAAGCCACGGCUAACUACGUGCCAGCAGCCGCGGUAAUACGUAGGUGGCAAGCGUUGUCCGGAUUUACUGGGUGUAAAGGGCGUGCAGCCGGGCAUGCAAGUCAGAUGUGAAAUCUCAGGGCUUAACCCUGAAACUGCGUUUGAAACUGUAUGUCUUGAGUGCCGGAGAGGUAAUCGGAAUUCCUUGUGUAGCGGUGAAAUGCGUAGAUAUAAGGAAGAACACCAGUGGCGAAGGCGGAUUACUGGACGGUAACUGACGGUGAGGCGCGAAAGCGUGGGGAGCGAACAGGAUUAGAUACCCUGGUAGUCCACGCUGUAAACGAUGGAUACUAGGUGUGCGGGGACUGACCCCCUGCGUGCCGCAGUUAACACAAUAAGUAUCCCACCUGGGGAGUACGAUCGCAAGGUUGAAACUCAAAGGAAUUGACGGGGGCCCGCACAAGCGGUGGAUUAUGUGGUUUAAUUCGAAGCAAUGCGAAGAACCUUACCAGGUCUUGACAUCCUGCUAACGAAGUAGAGAUACAUUAAGGUGCCCUUCGGGGAAAGCAGAAACAGGUGGUGCAUGGUUGUCGUCAGCU
rnacentral:rRNA from 1 species